AGCGACAACAUUGAACCUUCGGGGAAUUUGUUGGGCGGCGAGCGGCGGACGGGUGAGUACCUGGGAAAUUGCCCUGAUGUGGGGGAUAACCAUUGGAAACGAUGGCUAAUACCGCAUGAUAGCUUCGGCUCAAAGAGGGGGACCUUCGGGCCUCUCGCGUCAGGAUAUGCCCAGGUGGGAUUAGCUAGUUGGUGAGGUAAGGGCUCACCAAGGCGACGAUCCCUAGCUGGUCUGAGAGGAUGAUCAGCCACACUGGAACUGAGACACGGUCCAGACUCCUACGGGAGGCAGCAGUGGGGAAUAUUGCACAAUGGGCGCAAGCCUGAUGCAGCCAUGCCGCGUGUAUGAAGAAGGCCUUCGGGUUGUAAAGUACUUUCAGCAGUGAGGAAGGGGGUAUCGUUAAUAGCGGUACUCUUUGACGUUAGCUGCAGAAGAAGCACCGGCUAACUCCGUGCCAGCAGCCGCGGUAAUACGGAGGGUGCGAGCGUUAAUCGGAAUUACUGGGCGUAAAGCGCAUGCAGGUGGUUUGUUAAGUCAGAUGUGAAAGCCCGGGGCUCAACCUCGGAAUUGCAUUUGAAACUGGCAGGCUAGAGUACUGUAGAGGGGGGUAGAAUUUCAGGUGUAGCGGUGAAAUGCGUAGAGAUCUGAAGGAAUACCGGUGGCGAAGGCGGCCCCCUGGACAGAU
rnacentral:rRNA from 1 species